UUACACCGGUGGCCAGACUAUCUACACAAUGUCUCAGUUUAGACUUCCGCUUCCCAUACUGAUACGUGUUGUGAUAUUUGCAUUCCUUAGAUGAGCACCUAUGCACCUAUCUAUGAAUUCUGAAGUAGGUACCCCACUGAAAAACAGACUCUAUGAAAAGGUAUUGUAUAAGAAUGAUGGUUGGCACUUGAAACGCCUUAGAGCUGGCAAUGGCCAUUCGUUAAGUACAAAAGGUCUACGAGCACCGGACGUUCCAGGUUGAUCCAGCACAACAAGCACGUGAGUCUACUAUAAUAAUCGAUUUGACAAUCCGAGUGGAACACGAUUCCACCAGGGGUUUAAGGAUCGACGGGCCAAAAUUAAUAUUUCGUUGAUAAAUAUGGGUCAAUAUAUUUGGUUUGGUUAUUUACUUGCUUACCUAAUUCUCAUGGGAUACGGGGCCAUAAAAAUUACCUCCUUAAGACAUUUAUGGUCACUCCAAGGAGACUCAAAAGAUGACGCUUCCAAUAUAGCAUAAUAUUCAAGGAAAUCAGAAGCAACGCAUUGAGUAAAUGAAUAGUAAGACAUUAAGCCGGACAUUACAGGUUAAAAGUAGGACAUUGUAGCAUGGUUAGUAUCUAAAUAGUUUUUCUUGUUUUUACCUACCGCAGUGCAGGAAUCUAUUUAAAGAACAACAAGGCUAAAUGCGCUACUAUAGCCAACGUCGAAUCUUACCAAGCGAGCUGCUUUCUUUGUAAGUCAACAUUCCAAUUUAGAUUGAAAGCAGCUUGUUGGUGCUGGAAAUAAAGAAGCCAUCAUACCUAUAAAGUUGAGAUGUUAAGCAACGGGCAAGCAAGCGGCACAAUGGCAAAAUCACGAAUAAAUAUGGAGCCCCUGCAGCCAGCAUUAGGGAAUAUAAACCAGGACAGAAAAAUUGGGGAUUCAGCAGUUCCUACAUAUUGCUACACGUAUUACCGCCAGCACCAUGAUUAUGUCUACCAGAUCAUCUGGAGAACGGAAUGCAGACUGUAAUGUAAAUAACUGUGGAUUUCGAUUAUGUUUUGGCAUAGGCCUAGAGCCUUUUUUCUGAAUUGCUUGGGGUUAACUUGGCUCAAAUUGGCCUUAGGAUCAAGCCUAUUCAGAAUCAAAUUACGUUCUGUCUUUAUCCUACCAGUGACUUUGGGCCAGUCUUAUAAUUACUUUAUUUAGAUGGCGAUCUUUUUACAGUGAUGUAAUAUGGGCAGAGUGUGUAGCAAGGACGAAAUUGGAUUAAGGUUUGUUACACACAUUGCCGAAACUAAUUAAACAACUAACAGAAGAGACAUCAUACAGGGUUUCAAUGUCUUUCCAAUUCGCUUACUUUUCAUUUUUUUGCUUUUAUGCAUAUAGCGUGAAUCUGGAGAGAAGCUGAAAUAGAAUGCAUUAUUCAUUUGUUGUUUACGAACCCUGCCUAAGUGAUCAAGAUCUCUAGGCUAUCGAUCACGAAUAUCAUUAAGAAAGCAGGCACGCCGGAACCUCUGUUAGUCAAGGUGCUAGGCGGCGUCGGACUGAAAGCUACAGAAGACGCGAGCAAGGUGUUUAAAAAUUAAGAAGUAACGUUGUACAUAAAGCCAAGCUUAGGAAAAUUUGACCCGAGGGACUAAGGACCCAAAGAGCGCAAGAAGCGCGGACGUUGGACAGAGACGUGUAAGGCCCCUUGGAGGGAUUCCGGCGAAGAGAACGAAACCUCGACAAUGAUGAGAGAAUGAACAAAAUUGUACCGCUUAAGAUCGUACUGAUGUGAAGCAGUGCUCAAGCGCUUUGACUUGCAAGUGAAGUGCAGGGGCAUAUGUCAUGGAUCAAAUAUUAAAGCGCGGGCCGAAAAAUAAAAUGGCCAGCUUUUCACCUCUACAAUAAAAAUUCUACACAUGUCUUUCUCUGUCGGAAAAAUGUCUGACGAUUCGACCUCGUUGAUCGUUCGAUGGUCGCCGAAGGUUAGUACACUGCCUUAAACGUAAGGUUUUUUUUAACUUGCCAAUUUUUAGGCGCAAAGUGUCUCUACUGUUUUUGUAAGGUUUUUGAAGAAUUUUUGUAGCAUUUAGGACCGAAAUAAAGUUGAUUUUGUGCGCAUGUAGAAGGAAUUCCACGUAGCCCUCCCACACGCUCUUUUCCACACCUUAAUGCAGUUAUUGAAGCCAGCAUAAAGAGUUGCGACGCGGGUGUAGAAUAGGUGUAAUAGAAUUGCUUGACACAGUUUUCUUUAGUUUAUUAUAUACGAAUCAAUGUUGCACUUAAUUUUCAUAAAUAUUCAUUCUAUGACAAUUUUUCGAUGUAAUAAAUAUAAGUGGAAAGUAUGUGACGUGUGUGGUCUUUCUCUACGCUUUUUUUGUGUUUGUGUACCGGGGGGUGUGCUGUAAGCCACCACACACACACGCAUCCAUCAUAUAACAGAUGACAAUUUAAGAGAAUGUAUGUAUAAAAAAUCAGUUGAAGUUUUAUGUGAACAGCUACGUCCAUCCCAUAGGAAAUCAAAUAGCGUUGAAUUCUACGAAACAGAUUGUGAUAACCGUUCCGGCGGUAGUGAGCUAGGUCAAUCGUUCGGUGAUUGAAUUAAGUAACUACUUACGAAAUUAUGGCACUUUUCACGAAUUUGGUUGUUAUGUGGAUUCAACCCCAGGACUUAAUCAAUAGAGUGAUUUUACUUAACAAUAUAGUUGGAUUAGAAAAAAUAGUAUCUAUGCUGGACUGUAAUUCGACCAGGUUUGGUUGCCAAUAGCAAAACCUUGCUUUGAAGGGAACUUUGACAGACAUACAAGAAUAUCAAAUAAUUGUCUCACACUUUGUCAUAAUAACUAUGCUAUAUCGAUAAUUAACAUUUGGUCAAUAGAACACGUAAAUUAAUAACGAGAUAUCGAUAGCCAAGGAAACCGGAAUGGAAUUCUUUCAGUCCAACGAAGAACUUCAAUGAACUCUAAAACGUUCCAUAUUUGAAAUAUGGAACAUUUCAUAAUCUUUACGAAAAAAAACAAAAAGAAUAUGACAUGAAACGAGGAUUCGUGAAGGAUGGCCGGUAAAUAUUGCAAAUAUAUUUUAAAGUAAGUUGUAAAAAAUAAUAAAAGUACAUACCAUCAACAGGACAAUCAAUGUAAAAAUGAAAAAGUUAAUGCAUACUUGGCUCAGUUUUAUGGAUGCAGUCAUAGAGCGCGGCUGGCGUUCAACGGGUUGUCAACCGCUUAGAGUUGAAAUUUGGCGAAAUCGACAAGAACUUCUAUAGUAGCGAAUCGAAACGGUAAAGCGGUUACAAGUGUUAUACCGCGUAUACUUACUGUCUCCUAUCGUAAUUUGACCAGUUGGAAAUAUUUAACUUAAGCUUGACGUGUUACAUAGAUAUUGAAAAUGUAUCGCAUGCAUAUUAAAAGGGUCAUUAAUAUUAUGGAUAAAGUUACAUAAAUAAAUGAUUUAAAUAUCGUUUCUAUGAGUUUUGCAAUCGUAGACAAUAUUGCCUUUAUGUUUCGAGUUUUAAGUCCGGUAUCGCCGUUAGGCUUCUCAUCUCAUGACCGGCUCCCAGCACGAAAGGAAGCCUGUCUAUGCUCGAGCUCGAGCCUAGACCAU